AUAAAAUGCACCAGUGCACCCAGCUUGUUCUUCACACCAAUUCCAAGAUAAAACAAACAUGAAUUCCAAUAUGGCCUCCAAAAUACUGCUUGUGUUCUUCCUGAAUCCUGAUCCUGCAGGCAUCUCUCAUGUUCACUGCACAGGACGUGCUUGCUGUAAGGCACCUUGCUAAAAAGAGCGGUGCAUUAGACUGUGUGGAGACAUGCGAAAAGAGUACUCCCUCCGAUCCUAAAUUGUUGUCGAAAUAUUACAUGUAUUUAGACGCUUUUUAAAAAUAGAUACAUCCAUAUUUGGACAAAUUUAAGCCAAGAAUUUAGGAUCAGAGGGAGUACAUGCCAAGGCCAAUGGUCGCCAGGAGGUUAUGGGAAACCAAUCAAACCAUAACCUUACCCAACUUAUUAGGUCUGAGCCAGACCAUCCAUAUAUGUACUAUGAGCACCUCCUUAGGUCCAAAAAAAACGGUCCGAGUCGGACCAUCUAUGUACUAUGAAAAGUGUUGGGAUGAUGAAUAAAUUGGUGACUGUAAUAGUUCUUGAUUCC